CCUACGGGAGGCAGCAGUGGGGAAUAUUGGACAAUGGGGGGAACCCUGAUCCAGCCAUGCCGCGUGUGUGAAGAAGGCCCUCGGGUUGUAAAGCACUUUCAGUGAGGAAGAACGCCUGGUGGUUAAUACCCAUCAGGAAAGACAUCACUCACAGAAGAAGCACCGGCUAACUCCGUGCCAGCAGCCGCGGUAAUACGGAGGGUGCGAGCGUUAAUCGGAAUUACUGGGCGUAAAGCGCACGUAGGUGGCUUGAUAAGCCGGUUGUGAAAGCCCCGGGCUCAACCUGGGAACGGCAUCCGGAACUGUCAAGCUAGAGUGCAGGAGAGGAAGGUAGAAUUCCCGGUGUAGCGGUGAAAUGCGUAGAGAUCGGGAGGAAUACCAGUGGCGAAGGCGGCCUUCUGGACUGACACUGACACUGAGGUGCGAAAGCGUGGGUAGCAAACAGGAUUAGAUACCCUUGUAGUC
rnacentral:rRNA from 1 species